rnacentral:lncRNA from 1 species
AAAAAAAACCUUCAAUUUUUGUCAAAAAAAUAAAUUCCAUUGUCUCUAACUAAUUAUUGAAAUUUUAAACAUGUGUUUGGUCUAACGGUAUGGUAGAAAAAAUCACGGCAAAAAUUCACGGUAACUACAAAAUCUAAAAAUUUGUAAUUUCUUUGAAAUUUGAGUUUGUAACUUCGAACGUCAAAUAAUCGUUCAUUAAGUCUCUAAAGCUCACAUGAUCAGACCAGCUUUGAUUGCAAAAUAUGACCAACUAAUUACUAAUAAACAUUUAAUUUUGUUAGCAGAUCAAUUUAUCUGUUUAAUGUUAAAAUAAAUCUGAUCCAAUUCAAUACUUUUGGACAUAGAUUGAAAUGGUUUCCCCCCCCCCCCCCCCCCCUUUUUUUUUUUUUUUUUUGUAAACUAGGUAUCCUCCGCGCGCAACUGCGGAGACUAAUCCCUCGAGCAUUGUGAGACCCAAAUGGACGGCAGACUCUCCCUAAGAGUUUUAACGCUGCUGGAGGUAUUGUAAAUAAUAUUUUGUGUUAUAUUAUUUUUAAGAGUGUAUAUUUCUAUAUAAAAAGAGUGAGUUUUGCCUUCAACCUCGAGGUAAUCGGUUUGAGACCUAGGCACUGAGAACAUGAGUUUUUUCGAUUAGCUCUUUAAAAAAUUAUUUAUAGGAGGAAUAAUUGUUUUUAUGGAAUUUGUCGUGUAAUAAAAAUCUAAAUCGUCUAGUCUACAAUUUUGUAUAGUCUUCAAUUAUGUUGUGAAUUCGGGCUUUGAAACUUCACACCAAUCCAAACUAUGAUGUGUGGAGAAAGUAUCAAUGGCAACCAACAACCAAAUUAACCAUAAGCAAUAACAAUAAUAUAUACCAAGUCUAUAAACCAAGUGCAUAGCAAAAUCACAAUCCAACCAAAUAAUAAACAAGAUAAAAGAGUAAAGAAAAAUAGACAACAACACCAAGAGAUUGUUCACCCAGUUCGGUCCAACCAUGACCUACUCUGGAGGAGAGAUUGAUCUCUUCAAUCCACUAUCAAUGAGUUCUUACAAAGAGAUACAAAUGAGUUACAAGAAAUUAGCUUCAACAAGCUCACAAAAAACAACCCUAAUUUCUACCAAUUUUCCCAAUCUCACCAAUGAACAAGACACUCAUGAUUUUUACUCUCCCAAGGUGUUUACAAUUGUUUCACAACUCUAGAAUCUAACCCCCAAAAGAGAACCAACUCUUAGCCUUUGAUUUCACUUAGGAUCUUCUCUUUUGGUUUCACAAGACUCACCCAAGUUGCUCGCAAAUGACUCUCCACUCAUGUGUUUCCCAACCCCAUGAAUCUUCUCCAAAAGGCACCAACCCUUUUCACAAGAGCCCCCUCUUUUGGUUCUCCAAGAUUCACAUCUUGAAGCUUUGAACCUCACCCAAAGACCCUCAACCUUUAGUAUCUAAAACCCUAAAAGUUUCAUCCUUUGGUUGUUAUGGGAUUCACCAAGCUUACCCAACAAAUGGAUCAGGGAGUGUUUAAAACAUGUUUCAGAUCUGUCAAAAUCGUGUCACAUUUUGCCUUCAGAACCAAACAUGCAUUCGGCAUCAGAAAUCGUGACACGGUUGCCAAAUCGUGUCAUGAUUCUUCACUUUCAUAAAGACUUAAUUUUGAGUCAUAUAUAUACCAACAAAUUCAAAUUAUAUAAAUGGACGGUAUAUUCUUUAGUAAAAGUAUUAUUUCACAAUUUAAUACGUAUUAUUAAAAGAAAUUAGAAACAAUUAUCAAAAAAUUAUGAUAGAUAAUAUAUUAAACUCGUCUAGUGUGUGUGUAUUUUUGAAGGAUAGUGUGUGUGUGUAUUAACAUCAUUCUCUAAUUAUUUUUGUAGGGAAACAAUGUUGGUUAAAUUGAUGUGUACUUUUUUUUGUAAAAAAUAAUCGACGUAUUUUUAAAUGAGAUUUACAUGUAGAGAGAGACAGCGGUAGACAUAGUAGUAGAACAAUUAAAAUUUAAAAGACCACUUUACAAAUUGCACCAAGUGGUCCUCUAAAAAAGAUCACCGACAGUUGCUUCACUUUACCUUCAUAUAUUUUAGAGCAAUGAUAUUUGAACAAUUAUUUAGUACAACAUUUUUUGACAAUCUUCUUUUUCUCUCUUUUUAUUGGUCAAAAAUAAUGAAGAGAAAAAAGAAGAGAUAGAGUAAAAAUAUAAUAUGAAUAUGAGAAAAAAAAUUGUCUAAAAAUUAUCACAAAAUGGUUGUACAAAUAUUAUUUCUCCAUAUUUUAGACACAGGCUAAUCAUUAAUUAAUUUGUGUAAAAAAAAACAAUAAUAUUAUUUUGACAACAUUAUUCAACACCUUAUCUUUCUUUCAAAAAACAUUAUUCAACACCUUAUGUUCAUAUUAUCAUUUGAUUUUCUUAAUUAUGUUUUACAUCAGUCACAUCAAGUGACAUUUUACACGCUUAUCAAUUUUUUUUGUCAAGUAGCCUAGUGUUUAGAACUCAUAUAAUUUAAUUGUGAAGAAAUGAAGUGUCAGAGAUUCGAACUCCAACCCCUGCAUAUAAUAUGCAAUAUCCCUACCAACUGAACUAAGCUCACGAAGAUCGCGGUUAUCAAUUUUUGUAGUUCAAAUAACAUCACUAAAAAAAGCUACGAGGCAGACGCACAAAUUUUCAUUGAGCAGUUGUGUUAAUUAAUUUUAUAACGCAAGGAAAAUGGUGAAGUUUUUGUGAAUAGAGAAAUGAUAUAUAUACAAUCAUUUUCAAACAACUUUUGUAAUAACUUUAUCUCUCAUUUUUAUAUUUUAUUUUUAUUUUUUUCUCUAUUAUUUUGGUUUUCGUUUAUGAUUUUUUGUAAGAAAAUGAUUGUCUAUGUAGUUAUCAAUCACAUUGAUGUUCAAAUAACAUUGCUUUUGUGAAUAAUGCAAAAUAGUUUCUCGGAACAAUCAAUUAUUCAAUUGAUAUUUACGAAAUUAGUUUUUGUAGGGUGUCCCUAUAAAUCACAUAUACUUUAAAACAGUCAUAUGUAUUCACGAUUCGAGAUCUUAUAAAAAAACCAUUCCAGAUCAUGUAUGAAAAUGAAAUAUAUAUUUUUUUUGACUGGUGUAUGAAAAUGAAAUAUUUUCAAAAAUAAAAUAUACUCUCUGCCCAUAUAAUGUCAGCGUAGGUGUCGGUGUUUUUCUACCGACUAUAAGAAAAACUGUAAAAUAAAUAAAACAAUAUAGUAAUUUAAAUUAGUGAUUGUAAAUUAUUGUCUUAAAUGUAUAGUUCAAUAUAAUAGAUUAAAAAUGAUGAAAAAAAUAUUAAUUUAAGAGUAGAAUUGAAAUAACAUAUAUGUUUUCGAUAGUUUAACUAAAUUGAUAAAGACAUUGCAUAAUAAUAUACAAGUGUUUUGAAAUUCCAUUUAUUCAUUACAUGUGAAUUUUUAGAUAUUAAACUAUUUGGAAAAUAAAAUAAAAUAUCAAAUAAUUAAGGUUUAAAUAUGUAAGUAGUCCCUGUAAUUUCGCGUAUUUUUGUUUUCGUUCCUGUAAGUUAUUUUGUUCUAAAACAAACUCUGUAUUUUGCUAACCUUUUGGAAAAGGUCCUUGCCGUCAGCUUCCGUCAACAAAAACGCCAUGGUGGCUAACGGAGCACACGUGGCAGUUCAUGAGUUGGCAAAGUUGAUGAGAUGGAAUGAGAGAUGAUAAGUUGUUAAAAUACAGGGACUAAAAUCAAAAACGUAAAUUGACACAGGGAUGAAAUUAAAAAAACGUUUAAUCUUCUUUUUCCUCUCAAAUUUCAGUCUUCUUCUUCCUCUCAAACUUUCCCCAAUCUAUCCCAUACCUUGCGCCCUUGAACCAAAACUCAUAUCCUUCAACAAUUUAUUCUAAUUCCAUUACUCAAUCAUAUUGUGUGUUUUGAUUGUAAUGUUAAGUUGAAACAUUGUAUGCUACUUAAGUUUGAUUAAUUUAGUGAUGGUUGUUGCGAUUGAUUGCAAAUUCAUUCAUAAAGUUUGUAGAUAAUAAAGGCAAGAAUACAUCUUUUUCAUCCCUCUUUUUUUUCCACAAUUCCCUCUUAUUCUUCCAGAUUGCUACAAUUACCAUACAUAAAUAGUCAGAUCCCCUUUCAUCUUUUCUCACUCACAUUCAAAUUCAAACUCUAAUUUCUCAAAUUUUUGCUUUUGAAUUGUGUAAUUUUGUGUUUUUAUGUAAUUGGUGUAGAGAGUUUAUGUUGUUUUAAUGUGUUGAUUAAGAGUGGGUCUUGUUGUUGUUGAUUGAUGAUUAUUAGUUUUGUUUAAAAAAAUAUAUAUGUUUGUUGUUUUCUUUCUUUUCCUGGGUUUGGUGUUGAUGAUUUAUGAAUAUGGUGAUGAAGAUGAAGAAGACAAUGAAGGAAGAAGAAGAAUAAGAUCUUGAUUUUAAAUUUGAAAUUUUGAUUUUACGUUUUUUAUUUUAGUCCCUGUGGUAAUUUACGCUUUUGAUUUUAGUCCCUGACUUUACACAACUAAUCAUCUCUCAUGCCAUCUCAUCAAAUGUGCCAAGUCAUGACCUGCCACCUGUGCUCCGUUAGCCACAAUGGCGUUUUUGUUGACAGAAGCUGAUGGUAAGGACCAUUUUCAAAAGGUCAAAAAGAUACAAGGUUUAUUUUAUAUAAAAAAAAAAACUUACAAGGACGAAAACAAAAAAUACGCGAACUUAGAGGAACCUUUUACAUAUUUAAGCCAAUAACUAAUAGCACUUAUUUUGGUACAUUUCUCUUUUGCAAAUGUGAAACUUAAUAUUGGAUGGGGUCAAUAAUUUUGAGAAUGAAUAAACCCAUUAUUUAGUCUUUUAAUUUUUUUUUUCCAUCCAUCAGGUUUCUAAACUAUUUACAAACACUAAAUGUCCUUAAGACAUAGCUCAAGUAACAAUAUUGAUAUUGAGAAGUUGGAUAUUUUCAUCCGAGUUUGAACUCGAAUUCUUGCAAUUACGAGUGUGAAUUUCAGGUAAUUUAUAUCAAUUUAUCUGUAAACAAAAGGAGAUAUAUACGCGUAACAAAUAGGUCUAAUGCAAAUUAACAACUUAUUUUUAGUUUAUAAAAUAUAUGAAAUUUAAUCCUUUAGUCCCUAGUAUAUUUUAACAAUGGGCACUAAAGCAACAUAUAUUUCAUAUAUUUUAAAUACUACUACAUCUUUCCUUAUGUAUAAGCUCAUUUGACAUUUUCACAUAUAUUAAAAAAGUUAGUAGUGUCUUGACAAAAAAGAAGCUCCUUAGAGUUUCCUUAUGUAUAUUUUUUUAAACCGAAAAAAUUGUGUACAAAAAAUGACUAUUAUUACUAAAAAAAAUCUUUUGCAUAUAGAUGUGUUCAACAUUUAUUUUGCAAUUCUCAAGACAAAUCAGUGGUACAUCUUAAUAAGUGAUAUAUUUGUUAGGAAAAAAAAUUACUAUAUGUAUCUAGUUAUUUGCAAGACUAAUGAUUCUUAGCAAAUAUGCUUAUAUUGAGAGAACUUUUUUCUAAAGAGAGCUUAUAAUUAGAGACUAAGAUUUUGCCAAAAAAUAAAGAAAAAUUAGAGAAUAAGGUUUAUACUAUACUUUAGAAACUAAUUUGAUGAGAUACGACUAAAUCGAAGAUAUAUUUUUUUAGAAUAGUGUUAGAACCUUAGAAAUUAUAAUCAAUAGAAAUAGAAAUGUUCCUUACAGAUCCAUAAUAGUGACAAUCUUGUCUUUUCUUUUGAGGAAAUAAUAAUAAAGGUGGUGCCAACAUUUCAACAAACCUAGCUAUUUUAAUUAUUCUGUUCUCACAGCCUGCACCUUAGAUCAAAUCCAAAUUGGGUCAUCACCGUUCCAAAAUGCUUAGGGACGUUACUCUAAAUGUCAAUAUGAAUGAGUAAUUCAAAUAGUUAACAUAGCCCGCCAGCCUUAUAUAAUAAUAUCAAUAUAUGUCGACUAAUUAUCGAGAUGCUAAAUUGGAGUACACUUCACAAACAAAAAUCUUUCAUAAGGCGUUUUUUCUCUUAAUACAUUUUUUCUUUUCUUAUGCUAGUAACAUUUACUCUGUAUUGGCCUUCCUAAGAAGAAGUUGGAUAGUAGCAAUGUGUUCGUGAGACUGCUGAUAUCUUAAAAGAAUGUUCUCAUAGAUUCCACUUUUUUAGUAAGCUUUUAUGUGUAUGAGUUUGCAAAUUUAACCCUUUUUAAUUCGGAUAGAUUUAUAAGUCACACCUUCAAGUACAAUCGACAAAAUUUCAGUAAUAAUUACGGUUUAGGGUUUAUGGGUCUAGAUCUACUAAAAAUGAGUGGGUGUAUAAAUUAGUAUAUCCUAGAGUUUAUUAUCUUACGUUCGAUCUUCUUUGCAGAAACUCGUGCAUGUUCGUGAUAUAUAUUUUCGCGAGAAGUACAUUUCCCUAAAACAAAAUCAACCACUGACAUAAACACGUCAAAUGUAAGCCGGUAAAUCCAAGCUUUACUAACACGAGUUAUAUUAUAUCAUUGGCAUCAGCUACUUAAGAACUACUGUAGAAAAUUUACAGCAAGUCAUCGAGGCUUAAUAAAAUGUGUUGAUAUAGUUACAAAGAUAAAUUAAAUAGCAGAGCAUACAUGAAGAGAACAAAUGUAGAGCAACCCCUUAAACAAACCCUCUCAGUAAGGUAUCUUCACAUUACUCUAAGUUCAUAAAAGAUGACUUUAAAAACGAUUAUUUCAAAAUGCAAGUAUUCUCCGACCCCUUUUUCCCGGAUCUAGAUCUAAUAGUGUAAGGAUAUAUAUAAAUCAUUGUCACAUUUUACAACUCAAGAGUUUACCUCAACUCGUUUUGUUUAGGUAAAUUCGACUCGAGAACUCGUAUGACUUUACCUAAAAUUAAAAUUAUAUAAAAUUUAUUAUAUAUGCAUGACAUAUGUAAGUUAAUAUAAUAUUGUAAAUAGGUCAAUAGUGCAAAAUAUGACUUAAUUACAAAGACAAAUUAUACCAUAAUAAAAUGUUAUGCUCAACUUAGCUUCAAAAUACAAAAAUUAACGCACAAAAUCAUAAGUCUCUAAGUUUAAGCCAUCCAUAAAACCAUCCAAAAAAAGAAAGUUUCACAAGUUCCUAAAGUUAUUAAUAAAACUAUCUAAAAAAUAAAGUAGUUAAUUUCUUCAAAACGUCAACAAACACCACCACAACAACCCUAACCAGUGUCACAAUCACCGGCGUUGAAAUAUGAAUUUCCACCGUCUGAAUCACAACCCUAAAUGGUAUGUGCUCCCCUGUUCAUGGUUUGAGAACUUAGAAAAGAAAAAGGGCAAUCCGGUGCACUAAAGCUCCCACAUACGCAGGGUCCGGGAAGGGGUCCCACCAUUUUUUGUGUAUUGUACGCAACCUUACCCUGUUUUUGAUCACAAAAGAAAAAGAAACGUUUCAUUUUAGGAACAACUUGUCACUGUAAAGGUAACUAUUAAUUAAACGUUUCAGUCUUUGGGGUUGUAGAAAAGGAAUUGGAUUUUGAAAAAAAUGGGCACAUAAAAAGGGCCAAUUUUUAGAUGUAAACUCGUAAAACUCAGUAAACUCGGUCGAGUUUACACGAGUUUACCUAGUGUUAACUCGGUCAAACUCGUUAAACCUUCCAAUUUUACCAGAAACCGAGUUUACCUCCGAAUUAACAUGAUUUUGGCACCUACGUAAACUCGAAGAGUUAACACUCAAUUUGCGGAACAUUGCAUAUAUAUUUAAAGAUAUAUGUAUAAUUAUAGAGAAAGUAGAGAAGGGAUAUACCAUUUUAUGUAGGGUUAUUAUGUAUCAAAUCAUAAAGAGUCGAGAGUUGUAUUAUACCAUAAUAUUCUUCCGUAAACUGGUAGUCAUGAUCAUGACGUAUAUUAUUCAAGUAUAUGCAAAAACAUGUCUGUAUCUAGUCUAAAUUUUUGACCAAAUGCAUGUAUUUGCUUAUAUUUUGUUACUACUUACUACUCGCCAAGUAAUGCUCAAUAUCUAAUAUAUAUAUUUCAAGACCAUCAAAGAUAACUCAGUUGAACAAUACAUAAUAUAUGCAAGGUUCGGGGUAUAUUACAUUUUCAAUUAUUCUAAUAAUAAAUUUAAAUGACACUUAAAUUAUACAACUAUUAAAUAGAUCUUAGUACCGUAAAAUUUAUAUUCGAGACUUGCUAGGGAGAACCAUCAACCUCAACAAAAAUUUCUACUUGAAUCUAACGCAAACAAAAGGUCCAACCAUCUAUGAAUCUCCGUUGAUAUCACAAAUGAUGUUUGAUACAAGAGAGACAUAUUAGAACAUAAUCUAUGUACAAUCUACAUUAAAAUAAAAAACAAGUCUACAGUCAUAUAAAUAACACAAUUUCAAAAUCUCAAAAUUAGGUAUGAAAACAAAAUGAUUAGAAAAAUAAAUGAUUCAAUCAUUCCGAGAUUUGUGCAAAAAAAAAAAAAAAAACAUUUUGAAAAUACAAUGUUAGAAACUUAUGAUCAAUAUAUAUUUUUCCUUACACAUCAAAAAUAAUUAAGCUAUAUUCUUGUCUUUUCAUUUUGGGCAAACUAAAAUUAAAAUCAAGGUAGUGUCAAUGUUUCUAUAGUCCUAGCUAUUUGAUUUUCUUCUAAGCUAACAAGAGUCUUCCAAAAUCAAAUUCGCGCUCAAAAUUAAAGCAACUUGGGUGGUAACCAUUCCAAAAUACUUAGGGCCACAUUGCUCUAAAAGUCAAUAAGAAUAAGUAAUAAUUCAAAGAUAGCCAACCUUAUAGUAUAUUUUAAUAUGAAUGUAUGCAUGUUUCCUAGAAGGUGAGUAAGCUAACUAAUCAAGAUACUUUGUUGGAGUUAAAUAUGGUAAAGAAUCCAACUAUAAAAUGGGGACUUGCCCCAGCAUUCUUUCACAAACCAAAACCAACUUCUAAGAAAAAAAUGAGGUCCCUAAUGGCCUCUGCUUCUCUCACUCUUGCAUUAGCCAUCCUCUUUUUGAGUUUCCCAUCUGAAAUUUCAGCAAACAAAUACGCAUAUUCCUCUCCACCACCACCACAUUACUCAUCUCCUCCACCUCCACCGGUUCACACUUACCCUAAACCAGUCUACCACUCUCCACCACCACCAGUUCACACCUACCCUAAACCAGUUUACCACUCUCCACCACCACCAGUUCACAAGUACCCUCACCCUAAACCAGUAUACCACUCUCCACCACCCCCAGUUCACAAGUACCCUCAUCCACACCCAGUCUACCAUUCUCCACCACCCCCAGUUCACAAGUACCCCCAUCCUCACCCAGUGUACCACUCUCCCCCACCACCACCACCAAAGAAGUCCUACAAAUACCCAUCUCCCCCACCACCACCAGUUCACACCUACCCUAAACCAGUCUACCACUCUCCUCCACCCCCAGUUCAUCACACCUACCCUAAACCAGUCUACCACUCUCCUCCACCCCCAGUUCACACCUACCCUCACCCUAAACCAGUCUACCACUCUCCACCACCCCCAGUUCACACUUACCCUAAACCAGUCUACCACUCCCCACCACCACCAGUUCACACCUACGUCCCUCACCCUAAGCCAGUCUACCACUCUCCACCACCACCAGUUCACACCUAUCCCCCACAUGUUCCCCACCCAGUUUACCAUUCUCCUCCUCCUCCAGUUCAUUCCCCACCUCCACCACACUAUUACUACAAAUCACCUCCUCCACCUUACCACAACUAGAUAGCCCAUAAUUGGCAUCACACCAUAUGGUAACUUUUCAUGCAACAUAUAUAUUAUAACUUUUCAUAUUCUCUCUUUAUUAACUAGUUAUCGGUAUGAUUGUCGAGUAUAUACUAACAAGGCUAAUUUGAAAUGAAACUUCAUGUGCAAUGAAACAUUCUUUUACUGGUUAAUAUUUUAUUCUAUGUUUCAUUGAAAUUAAUAUUUUUCUAAUAGUAUUUGGUUAUUAAGGGAUUAGAGUAUAUCAGACAUAAACUGACAGAUCAAUAUAUUUGCAUUUGUGUAG